rnacentral:sRNA from 1 species
CUGAGCCAUCGUUCCUUCCAGGGGAGCCUCUCGGGAGGCCCACCUGCUGGAGCACAGCCGCAAUGGGGGACCAGUUCAUCAUGCUGAGUUGUGAGUGGCCUGGCGGUGAGCCCCCCGCCAUGCUGAGCUGGCUUGACGAACAGCAGCAGCCCCUGGGCGGUAGCAGCUCCUCGAUGGCCGUUCACCUUCUGCAGGCCCAAGAAGAUCUGGCUGGCAGAGUGUUCACCUGCCGGGGCACUCACCUGCUCAGGACCCCUGACCUCCACUGCCACCUCCAGCUGGGGAGCAAAGGCACCAACAGAGGGGUUCCAGAGAAGAUGCUGAGGCACAGGCAGGCCUUGAAACACCAACCACCACCCCAGGUUUGGAUCCUGCACAAGAAACCACGGAUGCUCCAGUGAAUGUCACCAUCACAGUGACUGCAACACCAUAAGGCCCAAAGAGGAAGAUGCAAAUAGGCUUAGGGAGGGCAGGUGGGAUUUGGGAAGAGCCCUUCUGUCAGACUUUGGUCAUAAAACCAACGUAGCUAAGACACCAACUACCACUUUCACUUAUUACCCAGUCUUCACAACUGGUGCAAGGCCCAGCUGCAGUGUCCCUAAGUGACAUGGUUACAAGAGAAGCCCUGGCCCACCUUGUGGAAGACAGAGGUGGCAGGACAAGGAAGAGGACCCGCAAUGGGGAGAGAGGGAUCUCUGGGUGUCUGAGGGCAAGUGAAAGCCAUGGUACAGAAGUAUGAGCAAGCUAGCUGCUUCCAGAAAAAAGUCUGUGGAUGGAGCAAUUCCUAAAUAAAUCAGAGCUGAUGUUCACGCCAA